GGUCCUGUGGCCCAAUGGAUAAGGCGCCUGACUACGAAUCAGGAAAUUCCAGGUUCGAGUCCUGGCAGGAUCG
rfam:Ciona savignyi cont_17355, whole genome shotgun sequence.